GCUGGUGUAGCUCAGUCGGUAGAGCACCUGAUUUGUAAUCAGGCGGUCGAUGGUUCGAUUCCUUUCGCCAGCACCA
rnacentral:tRNA from 1 species